UACGUAGGGGGCUAGCGUUGUCCGGAAUCAUUGGGCGUAAAGAGCGCGUAGGCGGCUUGGUAAGUCCGCUGUGAAAGUCCAGGGCUCAACCCUGGAAUGCCAGUGGAAACUGUCGAGCUAGAGUCCGGAAGAGGCGAGUGGAAUUCCUGGUGUAGCGGUGAAAUGCGCAGAUAUCAGGGGGAACACCAAUGGCGAAGGCAGCUCGCUGGGACGGUACUGACGCUGAGACGCGAAAGCGUGGGGAGCGAACAGG
rnacentral:rRNA from 1 species